AGUGAACGCUGGCGGUAGGCCUAACACAUGCAAGUCGAACGGCAGCACAGUAAGAGCUUGCUCUUACGGGUGGCGAGUGGCGGACGGGUGAGGAAUACAUCGGAAUCUACUUUUUCGUGGGGGAUAACGUAGGGAAACUUACGCUAAUACCGCAUACGACCUACGUGUGAAAGCAGGGGAUCUUCGGACCUUGCGCGAUUGAAUGAGCCGAUGUCGGAUUAGCUAGUUGGCGGGGUAAAGGCCCACCAAGGCGACGAUCCGUAGCUGGUCUGAGAGGAUGAUCAGCCACAAUGGAACUGAGACACGGUCCAGACUCCUACGGGAGGCAGCAGUGGGGAAUAUUGGACAAUGGGCGCAAGCCUGAUCCAGCCAUACCGCGUGGGUGAAGAAGGCCUUCGGGUUGUAAAGCCCUUUUGUUGGGAAAGAAAAGCAGCAGGUUAAUACCCCGCUGUUCUGACGGUACCCAAAGAAUAAGCACCGGCUAACUUCGUG
rnacentral:rRNA from 1 species